CGUAUAAAAGCUAAAUGCAGUCAAACCAGUGUCAGCUAUUUGAGCCUUAUGAACCCCUGGUUAUACUUGUUGAGUACGAUAUGUGCUCACUCUUGCAAUUUCCCAACACCUCAGGAUAUGAUAAUGAAGAUGACUGGAAUGAGAAUUACCGUUAUGAGUAUUAGGUUUGGAGUCAACCAGUCAACAGUGUCUCUGUGUGGAGCUUUCGCCGAGAGCGUUGUUUACU
rnacentral:lncRNA from 1 species